UACAGAGGUCUCAAGCGUUGUUCGGAUUCAUUGGGCGUAAAGGGUGCGUAGGCGGCGCGGUAAGUCGGGUGUGAAAUCUCGGGGCUUAACUCCGAAACUGCAUUCGAUACUGCCGUGCUUGAGGACUGGAGAGGAGACUGGAAUUUACGGUGUAGAGGUGAAAUUCGUAGAUAUUAGGAAGAACACCGGUGGCGAAGGCGGCCCACUGGUCCGGUACUGACGCUGAGGUGCGAAAGCGUGGGGAGCAAACAGG
rnacentral:rRNA from 1 species